GCGGUAUCUUUUGACUGACUCAGACAUGGAGGAGCUGCAAUCACGAGUCGUCAUUACAGAAAACCUACCAGAGGAUCAUUGCCACCAGAACCUUAUGAAACUUUUCUCUGCAGUUGGGAGUGUGAAGGCAAUUUGUAGCCAUCAGCGUCAAGCUUC